rnacentral:lncRNA from 14 species
ACCAGAAUGGAAACUGUCUCGCGCUGUGCACAGACGUGUAAAAGGGGACUUGAGUAGUCCCUAAAAUCACGAGUUUCUUCAUAUGUUCUGCUAUGUAUACAAUCUAUAUUCUAGCCUGUCUACCGUCUUCAGCUACUGAGGAACUGUGACUCUUGAACCAAUAAUUACCAUCUUCAC